rnacentral:tRNA from 1 species
ACCUAGGUGGCUCAGUUGGUUGAGUGUCUGACUUCUGCUCAGGUUAUGAUCUCAUGGUUUGUGAGUUCAAGCCCCACAUUGGGCU